GCUGUAGCUUAGUGGCUGAGCAUCUGCUUUGCAUCAUAAGGUCCUAGAUUCAAUCCCUGGCAUCUUCA